UUUCGGGGCUAGUUGAUUUGGCAGGUGAGUUGUUACACACUCCUUAGCGGAUUUCGGCUUCCUUGACCACCGUCCUGCUGUCUUAAUCGACCAACACCCUUUGUGGGUUCUAGGUUAGCUGCAGUUGGGCACCGUAACCCGGCUUCUGAUUCAUCCCGCAUCGCCAGUUCUGCUUACCAAAAAUGGCCCACUUGGAGGUCUGGCACGGCUCAACAAAGCAGCCGCGCCGUCCUACCUAUUUAAAGUUUGAGAAUAAGU
rnacentral:lncRNA from 1 species